AGUUCCUUCCUCGGUUUAUAUUAGCUUUCAUAGGUGCAAUCAUUUGUGGGUAUGGCUCUAUUUCUCUCUUUCUUGUCUCAUUUUUUUUGGCUUGCGAAUUCUCGUUUAGGGUGGAGUCUCUCUAUUCGGUUCUCGAUGAAUCGAAACAUGCCAUCGUUUUUCUUGAGGUUGCCCUGUCAAUUGCGAAACCAGAUUCCCUAUCCUAACACGUCUCCUCUCUCUUAUAACCUCAUUCUCACUCUCUAUCUCUCAGACUCUCCUCUCCUGUCGCUUGCUUAGCACAGUUGAGCUCUUGAGUUGCACCUCACCGAUUUUGAGUUGCCGCCGCGCCUCGCUCGCUAAUUUGCCUUUGGAACCGAGGAAUGGAAGGUAACGAUUUCAGUCAACUCAAGGAAGGGGAACAAAGAAGACCGAUGUGUAUGGACAAUAGAUAAAGAAAAUGCGUUUCUAAAUGAUCUUGAAGAACUAGUUGCACGAGGAACAGCUUCUCCAAGAUGAUAGACGGGAAAGACUAAUGAUUUGUUUUUUGAAUGUGCUAUGUCUUGUGAAGUUUGGAGCUUGGUUUAUAGCUUUUGUGGUAUUCGGUGAGUUAGGUAGAGUAGGAGCGAUGGGUUGUAGUACAUUUGUAAGAGUUGGAAAGGGAAAGUUAUCCCUAAUUUUUUUACUAUAAGUAAUUGGUGUGUUGCCUUUGUUGCUUUUAUGAAAAUGAACAACGUCGAACAAUGUUCUUUUCGCUAUUUCUUGGAAUCAUAUGUUUUCUGAA